GGAAUAUUGCACAAUGGGCGAAAGUCUGAUGCAGCAACGCCGCGUGCGGGAAGAAGGCCCUAGGGUUGUAAACCGCUUUCAGCCGGGAAGCAAAUGACGGUACCUGCCGAAGCAGGUUCGGCCAACUACGUGCCAGCAGCCGCGGUGACACGUAGGCACCAAGCGUUGUCCGGAUUUAUUGGGCGUAAAGAGCUCGUAGGCGGUUUUGUAAGUCGGGUGUGAAAACUCUGGGCUCAACCCAGAGAGGCCACUCGAUACUGCAAUGACUUGAGUACGGUAGGGGAGCGGGGAAUUCCUGGUGUAGCGGUGAAAUGCGCAGAUAUCAGGAGGAACACCAGUGGCGAAGGCGCCGCUCUGGGCCGUAACUGACGCUGAGGAGCGAAAGCGUGGGUAGCAAA
rnacentral:rRNA from 1 species